rnacentral:rRNA from 1 species
AUUGAACGCUGGCGGCAGGCCUAACACAUGCAAGUCGAACGAGUGGCGGAGGGGGGAGUAAUGUCUGGGAAACUGCCUGAUGGAGGGGGAGAACAACAGGAGACGGUAGCUAAUACCGCAUACCAUCUGAUUUGCCCAGAUGGGGUUAGCUAGGGGGUGGGGUAACGGCUAACCUAGGCGACGAUCCCUAUCUGGUCUGAGAGGAUGACCAGCCACACUGGAACUGAGACACGGUCCAGACUCCUACGGGAGGCAGCAGUGGGGAAUAUUGCACAAUGGGUGCAAUCCUGAUGCAGCCAUGCCGCGUGUAUGAAGAAGGCCUUCGGGUUGUAAAGUACUUUCAGCGGGGAGGCGUUACCCGCAGAAGAAGCACCGGCUAACUCCGUGCCAGCAGCCGCGGUAAUAC